AGAGUUUGAUCCUGGCUCAGAGUGAACGCUGGCGGCAGGCCUAACACAUGCAAGUCGAACGGCAGCACAGCAGUAGCAAUACUGUGGGUGGCGAGUGGCGGACGGGUGAGGAAUGCGUCGGAAUCUGCCUAUUUGUGGGGGAUAACGUAGGGAAACUUACGCUAAUACCGCAUACGACCUACGGGUGAAAGUGGGGGACCUUCGGGCCUCACGCAGAUAGAUGAGCCGACGCCGGAUUAGCUAGUUGGCGGGGUAAAGGCCCACCAAGGCGACGAUCCGUAGCUGGUCUGAGAGGAUGAUCAGCCACACUGGGACUGAGACACGGCCCAGACUCCUACGGGAGGCAGCAGUGGGGAAUAUUGGACAAUGGGCGCAAGCCUGAUCCAGCCAUGCCGCGUGUGUGAAGAAGGCCUUCGGGUUGUAAAGCACUUUUGUCCGGAAAGAAAUGCUUUGGGAUUAAUAACCGGGAGGGAUGACGGUACCGG
rnacentral:rRNA from 1 species